CUUUUCUUCGGGAAAACGCUACAGCUGAACGCACGCGCAAAUUUCAUAGAAGCAACUAACCGAAAUCAUUCCUUUUUCUUCUUCCAAGAAACAUUUCCUUGUCAAGUUAGUCUGCAAGAAAAUGAAAAUGGUUAACCCAAGAUUCAAAAACAUGUCUUUGCUCGUUGGAACACUUGUGUUUCUAGGCUUGAUGGCCACUCAAGCCAAUGCUCUAAUGCCAUGCACAAGAUCCCUAUGGGACAUGAUGCUCCCAUCAGAAGACCCCUUCAGGAUUCUUGAACAAACCCCACUUACAAUCCCAAAAGGGGUUGAAGCGCUUGCACUGGCAAGGGCAGAUUGGAAAGAAACACCAACAUCACAUGUUAUCUCCUUGGACAUACCAGGGAUCAAGAGGGAUGAUAUCAAAAUUGAGGUGGAAGAGAAUAGGGUGUUGAGGAUAAGUGGAGAGCGGAAAGGAGAAGAAGAGAUUCAGGGAGAGAAAUGGCACAGAGCUGAAAGGACUAAUGGCAAGUUCUGGAGGCAGUUUAGAUUGCCUAGCAAUGCAGAUUUAGAGCAUAUUAAGGCUCAUCUUGAAGAUGGGGUGUUGAGGAUUACUGUGCCUAAGUUCGCUGAGGAGCAGAAGAGACAGCCUCAAGUGAUUAACAUUGCUGAACAUGGCUCUUCUGGUCAGGAUAUUAAGACUACAAGGGCUCAGAUGUGAUGUAUUUUGUUUCUUUUCUUGCUUUUUGGUUCUUAAUGGUGGUGUGUUAUAAGUUAAUCACAGACUAAUAAUACUUAUUGUGUUGAGCUUUAUGUGAUGAGUUUGAUCUGAUUGUAAUAAGAUUAAAGGUUUGUGUUAUUGUAGUUAGCCUCUUCCUCUUUUUUGUUACUUGAGUUGAUAUUCAAUGGUAAUUUUCUCAAGUUUGUGAAAAUUUUCUCUAGCAAUGUCCAUAAGUUUUGAAUUGGGAAAUUUG
rnacentral:misc_RNA from 1 species